GACGAACGCUGGCGGCACGCUUAACACAUGCAAGUCGAACGGAAAGGCCUGCUUUCCCUUGUGGAUUGCGGGUACUCGAGUGGCGAACGGGUGAGUAACACGUGAGUGAUCUGCCCCCAACUUGGGUAUAAGCCUGGGAAACUGGGUCUAAUUCCCGAUAGGACUGCAGGGUGGUGCCUGUGGUGGAAAACGAUUUUCUAGUGGUUGGGGAUGAGCUCGCGGCCUAUCAGCUUGUUGGUGGGGUAAUGGCCUACCAAGGCGGCGACGGGUAGCCGGCCUGAGAGGGUGGACGGCCACAUUGGGACUGAGAUACGGCCCAGACUCCUACGGGAGGCAGCAGUGGGGAAUAUUGCACAAUGGGCGGAAGCCUGAUGCAGCGACGCCGCGUGGGGGAUGACGGCCUUCGGGUUGUAAACUCCUUUCGACCGCGAGGAAGCCACCUGGUUGGAAGGGUGGUGACGGUAGUGGUAGAAGAAGCACCGGCUAACUACGUG
rnacentral:rRNA from 1 species